rnacentral:rRNA from 1 species
GUAGGGGGCAAGCGUUAUCCGGAUUUACUGGGUGUAAAGGGAGCGUAGACGGCAAGGCAAGUCUGAUGUGAAAACCCAGGGCUUAACCCUGGGACUGCAUUGGAAACUGUCUGGCUCGAGUGCCGGAGAGGUAAGCGGAAUUCCUAGUGUAGCGGUGAAAUGCGUAGAUAUUAGGAAGAACACCAGUGGCGAAGGCGGCUCACUGGACGGUAACUGACGUUGAGGCUCGAAAGCGUGGGGAGCAAACAGGAUUAGAUACCCUGGUAGUCCACGCCGUAAACGAUGACUACUAGGUGUCGGGUGGCAAAGCCAUUCGGUGCCGCAGCCAACGCAAUAAGUAGUCCACCUGGGGAGU